GACGAACGCUGGCGGCGUGCUUAACACAUGCAAGUCGAACGGCGCGGCGAAAGGGUGGGUAACGGGUGGGUAACUGCCCCCCUCGCUGGGAUCACAGUUGGAAACGGCUACUAAUACAGGCUAGUGGGGGAUGACUCGCGUCUUAUCGGCUUGUGGGUGGGGUAGGGGCCUACCAAGGGGACGAGGGGUAGCCGGCCUGGGAGGUCGACCGGCCACAUGGGGCUGAGAUAGGGAGCAAACGGCGACGGGAGGCAGCAGGGGGGAAUAUGGCACAAUGGGGCAAACCCUGAUGCAGCAACGCGCGUGCGGAAUGACGGCCUGCUGGUUGUAAACCGCUUUCUGCGAUGACGCGGUAUUGGCAGAGGAAGCAACGGCUAACUACGUGCCAGCAGCCGCGGUAAUAC
rnacentral:rRNA from 1 species